rnacentral:rRNA from 1 species
CGGCAUGGAUAAACGCUGAAGGCAUCUAAGCGUGAAGCCAUCUUCAAGAUAAGAUUUCCCAUUCGAAAGAAGUAAGGUCCCUUAUAGACUAUGAGGUAGAUAGGUUGGAGGUGUAAGUGCAGCAAUGCAUGUAGCUGACCAAUACUAAUAGACCGAGGGUUUGAUCUCUAAAAU